rnacentral:lncRNA from 1 species
UUAAAUGUGUUUGUUGGGGGAGUGCAGCUUAUUUCAUUAAUAGAAUACCUCUCAAAGCUCUUGCCUUUAAAAGCCUCUUAAAUGUGUUUGUUGGAGAAGUGCAACUUAUUUCAUUAAUAGAAUACCUCUCAAAGCUCUUGCCUUUAAAAGCCUCUUAAAUGUGUUUGUUGGAUACUCUUCCACACAGAAGUGUUAUAAAUGUUACCAUCCUCCAUCUAGAAAAUAUUUUGUCAGUAUGGAAUUUCGUUUAGAGAGACUAAACCUUACUUCAGUCACCUCUUUAGGAGAGGACAAUGAGAGAGAAGAGAUGAUUCAUAGUUUUAUAACUCUAGAAUGUUUUACUCUAGAGCAGACUACUAUACAGGGGGAGACUAUUGGUGAUUAGGAGUCUACCAUACAGGAGGAGACUAUUGGUGAUCAAAUUGGGCACUUGGAUAAGCCAGAUUUAAGGAGAUAUUAAAAAAGAGACAAUAUAGAAGCAGAAAAAGCCAUUGUGCAGUCCACUUAGUGUCAUGAAACUUUCUCUUCUCAUUCGGUGAGUCAUCCCUAAACCAUGACUCCAUUGAUGAUUUAAAUAAACCAGUUGCUCAAAGAAAAGGAGCUAGGUCUUGUACAAAACACUCUAUUUUUAAUUUUUUCUCUUAUAAUUUUUUGUUUCCAUCCUAUAGAGCCUUUGCCUUGUGUAUUUCCUCAGUGUCUAUCUCAUAGGAUUAGAAGGAAGCUCUCAAAUAUUCUAAUUGGAAGGGAGCGGUGAUUGAAGAAAUGAAAGUCUUGGAUAAAAAUGAGACGUGAGAGUUGAUGUCGCUUCCACCCGGAAAAAAACUAGUUGGCUGCAAAUGGGUGUUCACUAUGAAACACAAAGCAGAUGGAUUAAUUGAAAAAUUCAGGGUCAGACUAGUUGCUAAGGGAUACACCCAAACCUAUGGAGUAGAUUUGUUGUCAAAAUGAACUCAAUCAGAAUAUUACUAUCUUGCACUGCCAACCUGGGACCUACAACAAUUUGAUGUGCAAAAUGCAUUUCUUCACGGAGACUUGGAGGAGGAAGUGUAUAUGGAAAUCCCUUCUGGAUUUGCUGAUGAAAAAAUAGAAGAAAAGGUGUAUAGGCUAAAGAAGGCUUGGUAUAAGUUGAAGUAGUCAUCUAGAGCUUGGUUUAAUAAAGUCAUCCAGAGCUUGGUUUGAUCGAUUCAGCAGAGCUAUGAUUUUUUUUGGCUAUCAACAGAGCUAUGCUGAUCAUCAGACAUCACAAGGGUAAAAUUACUUUUCUCAUAAUCUACGUUGAUGACAUGAUAAUGACAGGUGAUAACAUUGAAGAGAUGA